AGAGUUUGAUCCUGGCUCAGGAUGAACGCUAGCUACAGGGCUUAACACAUGCAAGUCGAGGGGCAGCAUGGUCUUAGCUUGCUAAGGCCGAUGGCGACCGGCGCACGGGUGAGUAACACGUAUCCAACCUGCCGUCUACUCUUGGACAGCCUUCUGAAAGGAAGAUUAAUACAAGAUGGCAUCAUGAGUUCACAUGUUCACAUGAUUAAAGGUAUUCCGGUAGACGAUGGGGAUGCGUUCCAUUAGAUAGUAGGCGGGGUAACGGCCCACCUAGUCUUCGAUGGAUAGGGGUUCUGAGAGGAAGGUCCCCCACAUUGGAACUGAGACACGGUCCAAACUCCUACGGGAGGCAGCAGUGAGGAAUAUUGGUCAGUGGGCGAGAGCCUGAACCAGCCAAGUAGCGUGAAGGAUGACUGCCCUAUGGGUUGUAAACUUCUUUUAUAAAGGAAUAAAGUCGGGUAUGCAUACCCGUUUGCAUGUACUUUAUGAAUAAGGAUCGGCUAACUCCGUGCCAGCAGCCGCGGUAAUACGGAGGAUCCGAGCGUUAUCCGGAUUUAUUGGGUUUAAAGGGAGCGUAGAUGGAUGUUUAAGUCAGUUGUGAAAGUUUGCGGCUCAACCGUAAAAUUGCAGUUGAUACUGGA
rnacentral:rRNA from 1 species